AGCCUGAACGCUGGCGGCGUGGCUAAGACAUGCAAGUCGCACGGGUGUAGCAAUACACCAGUGGCGGACGGGUGAGUAAUGUAUCGCUAACGUACCCUUCAGUCCGGGAUAGCCGAGGGAAACUUCGGGUAAUACCGGUUGACAUCACGAUCAGGCAUCUGAUUGUGCUCAAAGGCGUAAGCCGCUGAAGGAGCGGGCGAUAUCGUAUCAGCUUGUUGGCGGGUAACGGCCCACCAAGGCGACGACGCGUAGCCGGACUGAGGGGUUGGCCGGCCACAUUGGGACUGAGACACUGCCCAGACUCCUACGGGGGCUGCAGUAACGAAUCUUCCGCAAUGCACGCAAGUGUGACGGAGCGACGCCGCGUGUGGGACGAAGCCCCUCGGGGUGUAAACCACUGUCAGGGGAUAGAAAGUUCUGAUCAUCCCCAGAGGAAGGCACGGCUAACUCUGUGCCAGCAGCCGC
rnacentral:rRNA from 1 species